rnacentral:pre_miRNA from 1 species
UUUGUGAUAGAAGCGCUGCUAAAGGUCAUGAUCUUUAGCGGCGUUUGUGAUAGAAGCGCUGCUAAAGGUCAUUAUCUUUAGCGGCGUUUGUGAUAAAAGCACCGCUAAAGGCCAUGAUCUUUAGCGGCGUUUUUUUCACAUA